AUUUCAGUAAGCAGAGGAAAAGAAACCAACAGGGAUUCCCCCAGUAACUGCGAGUGAAAAGGGAGGAGCUCAGCGCCUAAGUCCAGUCCUCUCUGGUCUGGACGGUGUGGCGUUUGGAGAGUCUCAUCUGCUGCGAGGACAGGGUCUAAAUUUUGCUGGAAUGCAGUUGCAGAGAUGGUUUCACACCAGUCUGGCCCUGCCCAGCAGCAGAGUCGGCUCUCUAGGAGUCGGGUUGUUUGGAAACGCAGCCCAAAGCGGGUGGUAAACUUCACCUAAAGCUAAAUAUGACUACGAGACCGAUAGCGCACAAGUA
rnacentral:rRNA from 1 species